UACAGAGGGUGCAAGCGUUGUUCGGAAUUAUUGGGCGUAAAGCGCGUGUAGGCGGCUUUGCAAGUCGGGUGUGAAAGCCCUCGCUUAACCGAGGAAGUGCGCCCGAAACUGCAGAGCUUGAGUACCGGAGAGGAUGGCGGAAUUCCCCAAGUAGAGGUGAAAUUCGUAGAUAUGGGGGAGGAACACCGGUGGCGAAGGCGGCCAUCUGGACGGAUACUGACGCCGAUGACGAGGAACGCAAACGGGUGGGAGCAAACAGGG
rnacentral:rRNA from 1 species